GGUUAGUCCGAGUACAUUGGUGUUUACAACUAAUUGAUCACAACCAGUUACAGAUUUCUUUGUUCCUUCUCCACUCCCAUUGCUUCACUUGACUAGCCUUAA
rnacentral:Y_RNA from 1 species